CAGAAAGUAGUUUAAAAAUUAAAAAUAUGGGUUUUGGAAAUCCAAGAUGCUCUCACAGGUCUUUCUGA
rnacentral:tRNA from 1 species